UCAGCACUAAGACUCAUUCUACUUAUCAGGUCUUGAUUGAAGGCCAUGAUAAGUUAAUUAUUUGAAUCAGGUGUCUUAGUGCUUGGCUAAAACCAAAACCUGCAGCCACACCAGCCCUUUUCUGGUAAGACUGGACACCCCUGACACAUUGCCUUUCAGAAACUGCACCAGGAUUAUAAGGAUUGGAAGCUACCGAAGGUGCAUGUCCCACGGCUGCUGGAUACACAGAUUAGCAAGGACACUAGCAGAAUAAAUCAUAUUGAAUGACCAGACAUAUCUCAUUAAACAGCCCUCCUCUGAGAUCCCUCAUCCAAGCCUUCAUUUUCUGGUCACCUGAGUCCAUUGGAAGGGGCCGAACCAGACAUGAAGUAACACACAAAGCGCAAUGGAGGCUGCCAGGCUGAACAGAGCCUGAAACAGAGCCUGAAAGGGGGCAGAAGGAGAUGAACAAUUGUCCGGCCUGAAUGGGCCAGUUAAAAAACAAGGCGGGGAGAGGCUGUUGCUCCAACAGUGCCUCAGCCAGGGAGUGGGGAGUGUGGAGCCAUGUCCCUCAGAGGAGAACCCCCCCCCCCCCCCACAACUCAGAUCAGGCAGACGGGUGGAGCAGGCUUUGUCACGUCUCUCUAAGAGACACCUCCAAAAUUAUAAAUAAAUCCUAUAGCAAACGCAUGUACAGAGUUGGACACUGUUAUUUCUAUAUUUACUGUAUGACUUAAUUUUUCAUCAGAACAAGGAAUAAUGACAUCAGAAAGGACCAUUGUUAAAGGCUUCAGAAUACACAAUCAGAAUUUCAUUGAAUGAUUGUGGCUCAUUCCCAUAGCAAAGUAUCACCUCAGUUUAAUACAGGACUGGCGGCCUUUUGAUGGCCAGUAUUCCCGUCCACUAGAUCACCUUCCUUUGAACUGAAAUGAAGUUAAUGUGGCACUGUAUUGGAAUCUUUCGGAAAUGUUUUCAAUCGAUAAAAAAAUUUAAAAUUAGCUCAAAAGUCCUCUAAUACAUUCCCUUGCAGGCUCAUUUGUAGAUAAUUUAAUUAGACCAGUUUGUCCGCAUCCAGAUACACUUCUGACCAUUCUGUUCAAAAGUCUUUACCACAAAGUGUUUGGAGAACUCUUCCAUAAAAUUAUCAGAACAUCUUUUAGUGUGCUAAUUGGCAUAAGUCUGAUUAAAAAGUAAGCAAGAGCCUUUGAAAAUGAAACUGCAACUGAUGCUUCAGAGAGCUUAACAAAGUGAAGUUGUUUCUGAACCUCUGCAUGCAAAACGGAACAUGAAGGUAGAUAUCUGGCACUGAAAUGUUAAUUUCUCUUGUUUUGCCUAAUUAAUGUGAAUGUUUCCUUAGAACAAAAAAAUCCCUCAAAAUAUUAAUUAGAACCUAAACAUUCAUGGUAGUUCCUCCUUGUGAACUGCUUAAUUAGUGAGCUUUUAUCAUUUCAUCAUAAUGUUAAUUCGGUAUUUCUAAUUUGAAUGUUUGUUUAUUGGUAAGAUAACACAAAAUUUAAUUGCACAGUAAUAUUGGCAUUUAGUUUACAGCAGGGUGCAAAUUCCUUUUGGUGUGAAUAAAAUAACUUUAAAAAUCUUAUCUUAUCUUAUUUUGGACUUAUCUUUUCCAAAAUAAUAUCAGUUACGUUUUCAUUUUCUGUUGUAGUUUUAUUUUUCACAUAAUGUACAAAAAUAUAGCCUCUUAUUUGCAUCUUUAAACACCUUUUUAAUGAAUUAUAACUGAGCAUAUAUCAAUGUAAGGUGUGUAUGUAUGUGUGUAUACAUGGAUAUGUUUAUUGGCAAUAUAUGUAGUUUCUGUUUGACUGAGUAUAGUAUUGUACAUUUACUGUGGAUUUGUAACAAAAAAUGUGAUUCUGUGAGUUGCUGUAGAAUAUUCUUAGCUGCUGUAGUAGUAAUACUCUGACCUGCUGUUGAAACCUCUGACUGCUGUAGAAUACUCUGACUGGCGGAAUGCUAUGACUAUUGUGUAAUUCUCUCAGCUGCUGUAGAAUAGGCUGAGAAGCUGUAGAAUAUGCCACGCUGCUGUAGAAUACUCUGGCCUGCUGUUCUGUUGAAAACUUUAAGGCCUCGUACACACUAGCAGUUUAAGUUUCAAAACAUUUCAGAAAUGUUUAAGUUGAGAGGUUUUUGUUAUCUUAACCUGUUCAUGCACAUUACUCAAAUGCAUUAGGUGGUGUUCGAAUGUGCUCCACGCAGUACAUUUCCUUGGCGGUGAAUUUAAUCUUUUGUGUUACUUAGUAACCAUAACAUCAUUUACAGUUUAAUAAAAUGAACAACAUGGAUCGACUUGUGGAUUUCCAAGUGUUUGUGAUAUAUCUCUUCCUCCAUCCAAGUUGAACUGCCAUCGACGACCAUAAUAUAUACAGAUGGGUGACAAAUUAAAGACCAGUACCCAUGGGUUUUGCACCAUUGAACUCUCAAAUGUGCAUUUGACUUAGUAAUGAGGGGUUUAUGCACUGCGUCCCUACUAUAAUAUCCCUCUCUAUGCAGUUGUAGAUGGACUGUUCUUGCUGACACAGUCUGGUCAUGUUCUGCAUUGACAUUCUCAGGCACCUGAGGAAGAGUUGCUCCAAUGUGUUUUUCCUUACGUUGCAUGUAUAAGCAUCACGGUCGUCGAAUGUGCGCUUUCGACCACAAUUUCCGACCCUGUUUACUGAUUGCCUUUUCCAUAGAUCUAAAUGCAGAUGUCACUUUAUUCACUGUUCCUAUUGAAACACUAGCCAGUUGAGCAGUCUUUGUGACUGAAGCUCAAGCCAUCCGUGCCCCGAUAAAGAACCCAAAGUAAUAUAGUUAUAUAGAUAUUAUAUAGAUAUUCUCCUCUGGCCAUCUUGAUCCAAAAUCGAGGUCAACUGGGCCUGCUCAGCAUUUUUGUGUGACAUAGGGCACGAUAGGAUCCACUAAUUUAUUUUUCCUUUAAUUUGACACUCUGUAGUUUUUUGAAAUAUUUUCGACCCUACCUCCAAGGGGUUUAAAUAAAAAUGUUUUUGAAACCAGUGUGAACUUGAUUCAGUUUUUAGGAGAAGUUUGCGAAACAGGUUUUAGUGUUAGUGUGUAUGAGGCCUAUGCUGCUGUGGAAUAGUCUGACCUGCAUGAGUAAGUCCCACAGUCUUGGCAUACGAUUGGCUCUCCUCUGCCCACACUCCCUGCAUGCGUGGCUUGUGGCUGCUGUUGAAUACUCUGAACUGCUGUAGAAUAUGUUGAGCUGCUGUAGAAUUCUUUGACCUACCGUAUAUUACUCUGUACUGC